rnacentral:lncRNA from 1 species
GCAAAAGCAAGCAACACGACUCUCAACGUGUAGAAGGGUGUGUGCAAAGAUGAAGAGAAAGACUCUAAAGUGUGUGAGAAGGCUUACAUCUGACUGAUAAAAAGGGCUUCUAUAUCUUUAGAGUGGGUAAACACUGGGCUUUUGUGGGUACAAAAGAGGCUAUAUAUGAGCUCACAGGUGUUUGAAAGUGGGAAAAUACACUGUAUGGCGAGUGCAAAGCAAAUUGUGCAGGGUUUCCCCGUCUUUUUUCUCCAAAAAAUCAGCACCCCAAGCCUCUUAUUUAUAGGCAAAGGGUGCCGUAGGUGUACCUGCGGCUCAGCCGCUAGUGUACCAGAGGCGGGUCGGGUCGGCCCGGUUCUAUCGGGUCGAGUCAUUUUGAAGUACGUGCAUUCAGGCACUGUAAUGUCCACUCAGAUUUUGAGAAGGUCAAUCCGAGCAUCCGUUUUGAGGUAUUCAGGACCUAUUUUGGACCGCCGUUG